CCCCAGCAACAGCAGGGCGGCGCCACAUUGGUCCUGCGACAGGCCUGGCCGCCGGUGACGGCGGGACUCUCUGGGAGGCCGGCGGUGCUCGAGUGUAGAGGGAGACAGCUGCCCGGGGGCACGGACAAGCGGCUUUGGGGGUCCCGGAUCCGAGACCCGCGGCUCCGGGGUGGCGGUGACGCCUGCAGUCGUGCGGGCGUGGCUGGACCGGGUUCUUGGGGCAGCGAGGCGCCGCUGCUGGCGUCUAGGCCACACCACCCUGAACGCGCUCGCUCGCCUCUGAUCUGUUGAAGCUAAGCAGGGUCCGCCUGGUUAGUAUUUGGAUGGGAUUCCGCCUGGUAAUAGCGGGUACCAUAGGCUUUUGGCAUCUCGCUCCCUCCCUCUUUCCCUCUUUUGUCUCCGUGCUUCCCAACCACCCCCCGCCUCUGCUCCCCCUUGACAGCCCCCGCGCCCCAGCUGAAGCCCAGGACCUCCUCCUGAAGAUCCGCCACUGCAGCACCGCCAGGCAGCAGCAUCCCACUUCUUCCGACCCGCAGCAGCCCAACCAGGAGCCUGGCUACAAGCCGGGCGGGACGGGACGAACGCCGAGGGCGCAGGCGCGGGUUCCCUGAGGUCCCCGGUGUCUUCAUGCUCCCCGGACUCCCAGGCUAUUCUAUUCAUUCAUCCAGCGACGCCGCAACCGUCCAAGCCAGCGGAAGGGGCGGUCAGGGGCAGCGGGUCCCACAGACCCCAGCCAAGACCUCUGCUCCAGAACCCAUGGGCUGCUUUCCCCAGGGGAAGGACAUUGUCUUCGCCAGCCACGAGGAAAUCCGUCCCUGUGCACCCGGUUUCCCAAUUCCACUGACUUCGUGUGAACUCCAGUCCUGAAGACAGGAGACAGACCCAGGCCUCGCCCCGUGGACAAGCUCAGCGCUUUGGCUCCCGCCAGACAAACGAGCACACUCUACAAAUCUCGGGGCCCACCGCACCAAACAGACAGAAAGAAGCAAACAAAGGAAGGACCUUAUGAAACGCACCCCCAAAGCAACCAACCAAUUCAAGAAAAAAAAAAAAACACAUCUCAGGGCUCCUUUUGUUUUCCCGGGUGGGGGGCCCUGACCCCCUGUUCUAGCCCAGCUCAAGCACCCUCCACCCCACCCCGGCCUGCUGAAGGGUGCCCUGUCUACCUGAGCAGAGCCUCCCUCUCCAAGGCUCUGUCGCUGUCGCUGUCGCUCCAUAACACCCUCACCCUCACCCUUUCUCUACUUCCCCCUCCACCUCGCGCUCUACUGUGGCUCUCUCUCUUCCCCCCUCUCUGUCUCUCCUCCCCCUUCUCUGUCUCUCUCUCUAUCGCUGUCUCUCUCUCUCCCUCUGGUUCUAUUUCUCCAUCCCUCUCUCCCUUGCCCUCCUUCUGUAGCAGGAGGAGCUGCAGACAAAACCCCUCAGACACCGAGUUGUAGAAGGAAGGGCUUUAUUCAGCUGGGAGCAUCGGCAGACUCACGUCUCCAAAAACCUAGCUCUCUGAGUGAGCAAUUCCUGUCCUUCUUAUGGGCUUACAACUCUAAGGAGGUCUGCGUGAGAGGGUCGUGAUGGAUUGAGGAAGCAGAGGGUACCUGACUGGGGGCUGCAUGCACCGACAACGAGAGUGAAACCACAGAGAAAAGAAAUAUCCCGUGCAUCACGGCCAGAUGAUGGAUUCCUGUUUCCUGCAAAAUGGGGAGUCUCCAAUAUAGCCUGUUUGAAAACUGGAAAGGAGAGCACCGACACGAUGCUGGUCUUCCACGCAUUCCGGGAAGUUUCUGGGGCCCCACAGAGCUCGGGUAACAAACAGUCAACAUGGUCAAGCUUUCGGGGGGCAGAAACUUGAGAAACAGGCACCUUUGCAGAGGGCAAAGAAAUGUGGAAUCCAGAAUCACGCUUCAGUUGACCUGAGUGUGACUCCUGUGUGGUUGGGACUAUCCGCCUUGCGCUGUGUUGCAGGGCUCAAAGUGGGGAUAUGUCAUCUGUGAACCAUGUGGAUGAAAAACAGACAACCACCUGAGUCUCGGCUCAUUGCUCUCUGGGGAAUUCGCUCAUUCCUUCGGAAAUGGAAUUGGUCUGAAUUGUUCCGGGAUGAAGUAACCCAGGCUGGAGAUCCAGAGGGCCGCUGAGCACCCCGCGGCCAAAGGGGCUGUGGGCCCAGCACUUAGACUGCACUGGGCACCCAACAUUUUCCCGGAGUGCUGGGUCCUGUUGGUUCUGGAGGCAGAAGACCGUUUUUCUCUCUGCCUUCCGUUCUCUGUUUCUUGCUCCUUUUGUCCCUUGGUCCAUCCUUCCCUGUGUUCUUCCUUCCCUCCUCCAGUUUUUUCCUCCCUUUUUCCCUCCCUCCCUCUUUCUCUCCCUUCCGGGGUCCCUCCUUCCACCCAUCAUUUCCUAGCUCCAUCCUUCCAUCUCACUCUGUCUCCGCUCCUGUCCUCAUCUCUGUCUGCCUUCCCUCUUGCCUGGAAAGGGCAGCACCCCGGUUUGCACGGGGUCUCGUGUCUACAUUUAGUUGCAAGGCGCUCCAUCGUGCUGGCAAGGAGGCUGGCGGGACAAGGGUUGGCAAGUUAUGGUUAGCGAAGUGGCAGAGGAGUCGAGCCGCAGAAAGGAGAACUGGCCUGGCUUCUGCCCCGGCCCAGUGUUUCGCGGACUAAGGUCUCCGCCAACCCGACUGAAGAACGCGGGGGAAAAAGGGAUGAGAGCUCCGCCUGGGCUAGUUAGAAAACCUAGGCUGCUGCCUGGAAACCCGCGCAUGCGCAGUAGACAGCCCACCUCACAGUACCUGGACCGGCCCUGGGAUCCCCGGGAUGCUCAGCAGUUCUUUCUUGUCAUUCCUGACAGCUUUCCUCUGUGUGGAGUCUCUCCUUGGACCUGGAACUCAGGGAUCUUAGGCAGGUCAGCUGGAAGGGAAGACACGACUCUCCACACCAAGCCUGAGGUUCACCGCAAAAGAGAGGCCGCCACUCUGCCCCCACCCCGCCCAAACCCCGCCCCAACCUGCUCCUCCAGCAGAGCCCUGUGUUCUUCCUGGCUGAGUAGUGGUUCCAGCAAAGCGGACUCUUCCAAGUCCUUCAGCUCCCCCAGUGGCGCCGGAUCUAGGAAAGGUUGUGCCUUUUGCUGAAACUCUGGGGUUGACAGGAGCUCAUCUAACAGGCUGGAGGUUAGUGCAGAUGAGCACACCGGCUCCUGGAGCUGUUGUGAGGUGCCUGGAUGGCUGGCAUCUGUGCUUGACCCGGAGGCCUCCGGGGUCGAGAGCUCCGGAGAUGGAGGUGCCUCGUCUUCCGGUUCCCAUGCCGCCCUGGCGACCUGGGGCUCCAGUCCCCCCACGGACUCCGGUGGGACGUGGGUGGCAGAAGCACACCUUGCCCCUGUGACUCAGCUUGAGGGAACCUAAGCUAUCCCACUGAGCACGCGCCCAGCAGGCCGUCACGCUGCGGGUUCUGGUCUUCGUGUCAUUUGUUGGGGUGUGGAGGCCACCAGGGAGUCUGAGGAUGGAAGAGCCCCAGUUCCGGAGGAGCCAGGGCAGCAAACACAAAGCCCUGCAUGCCCAGGCAGGUUGGAAGAGUCCUUCUGCCUGCGCAGCCUGGCUGGGCUGGAGCAGGGGGAUGUCCCUUGCUGCCUGGCUCACGAAAGCCCCCUGUGGGAGAGCCACAGGGAAGCAGGGCAUGUGGGGUGUGCUAAGCGCCGUUCCCCACGCCCCAGUGUGAGUGAACUCGAUAGAGGAGGCAGGAGGGUGACAAACACCGGGGUUGCUUAUUAGUAACCACAGUGGCCUCAAAGAACUCAAAUGAAAGGAAGACUUGCACAUCUCUCUCUUUAAGUCCAGAGGUAGAAAUGAUUAAGCUUAGUGAAAAUGUAGAAUUUUCAUAGCUAGAGAGAAGUCAAUGCUUGGCUUCAAAACUUCAAAGGAUGGGCUGACUCUCUUUGAGGACCACUGCAGCUGGUGACUUUAAGUUACAGCCAGUGCUCAUUGACCACUCUGAAAAUCUCAGGGCCCUUAAGAAUUAUGCAAAAUCUAUUCUUUCUGUGCUCUAGAAGUGGAACAUCACUGUCUGGGUGACAGCACAUCUGUUAAUAGCAUGGUUUACUGAAUAUUUUAAUCCCAUUAUUGAGACCUACUGCUCAGAAAAAAAAAAAAAAGAUUCCUUUAAAAAGAUUGUUGCUUGGCCAGGCGUAGAGGCUCACACUGGUAAUCCCUGAAUUUUGGGAGGCCAAGGAUCACCUGAGGUCAGGAGUUCAAGACCAGCCUGGCCAAAAUGAUGAAACCCCAUCUCUAA